rnacentral:lncRNA from 1 species
GGUUCCUUAUGAUGUGCUUUUCGAGCUUGACUUCUCCUCAUUUGGAUUUUCGCUCCUGUGGAUCGAAUUCGAGAUAUUUUUCUCAAUAGUGGCAAUCUAGGAGAACAAAAUAUUGAACCUCUAGGUGCAGUUACUAUAUAGAUCAAUUCUUCUAUCAUGAGUUCCGACAAGAUGCAGGUCAAGGAUAACUCAUCAAAUCUGUUCAUCUGUCAUAUAUCAGAUUCAAUCGACUCGAGUCUAUAUGAAAUCUUAUGAAAACUUCUUUCCAUCAUUCACCAACCAUGGUUAU